rnacentral:lncRNA from 1 species
CUGGACUGGAACAGUAAUUUGUGAAGGGUUUUAAAUGAAAGAGCAAGUGUUCAGACUCCUAGAGAACUCUGAAGACUAAACUGAAUUGAAAUUUGCAGCAAUAUAUGCUAGGGAACUCAUAAUACAUUGCUGAUUACAGGAGUGCAGAGAUGAAAAGUUUAAUAUCAACUCUGGCUCUCCUUCACUGCUAGGGCUAAAUGUGAAUAUUAUCCAAGGAUGUUUCUAAAUGAAUCUCCAGUAGUUCUCUCUUUCCAAGUCAGAUCUCAGAAUCUCUUCACUUGAGUCAAGCUACUCCCAGCUUUGGCACACAUCUGGUCCAACACUACUUUGGGAUAUGUUUUGUUAAGGUUGCUGCUCUGCCUGGAAGGCUCUCAUUCCUCUGCUGCUUGACCCGAGCUUUCCUUCCUCUAAGAACUGCUAGAGGCUCCUAGAUGCCUUUCCAAACCAACUUCUCUUCUAUGAGAUCAGCUCUCAGCUUUGUAUUCCUUGGCGUCUAUGGAGUCUAUUUAUCAGAUACAUGGAGAAGACUGCUGACAGCUGUGGUACAUGCCUCUGGCAACUGUGGACUACAGAAACAUAAAGGACCAAGAAAGUCCCUGUGGGGGGAACCUAACAUCUCAUCUGGGAGAGAGCAAACAGAAUAAUAUUGGAGGAAUAUGAAGAAGAAAUGAGUGGCUAUUAAAAAUCUACAAUUUUCACAAAGCUCCAGCAGUAUCUUCCAUUUCUGCACUGAUUUUCUUUCACAGUGUACAAAGUGAAAACAAACGAAUUAUACCUAUGUGAUGAGAUGACUUGAAGCCUAAGGAAAAUACCCAAAGAUGUCUCUGUAAAUAUGGUAACAUUUUAAAUAUUUGAAUGGAAAGAAUAAAUCUCUCACUGUCAUUUAGAUUAUGUUAAAACUAAUCCAGCAACUCUAAAGCUCAAGCCACUGCUGACGCAUUGACGUUGCAUGAUGAAUCAAGACCCUAGAAAAAAUGGGGUAAACUGUAUAUUAACAUGAAAUCCACUAUAUGU